GACGAACGCUGGCGGCGUGCUUAACACAUGCAAGUCGAACGAAGAGCGACGGAAGCUUGCUUCUAUCACUCUUAGUGGCGAACGGGUGAGUAACGCGUAAUCAACCUGCCCUUCAGAGGGGGACAACAGUUGGAAACGACUGCUAAUACCGCAUACGAUCUAACCUCGGCAUCGAGGAUAGAUGAAAGGUGGCCUCUACAUGUAAGCUAUCACUGAAGGAGGGGAUUGCGUCUGAUUAGCUAGUUGGAGGGGUAACGGCCCACCAAGGCGAUGAUCAGUAGCCGGUCUGAGAGGAUGGACGGCCAAAUUGGGACUGGGGCACGGCCCAGGCUCCUAAGGGAGGCAGCAGUGGGGAAUCUUCCGCAAUGGACGAAAGUCUGACGGAGCAACGCCGCGUGAGUGAUGACGGCCUUCGGGUUGGAAAGCUCUGUUAAUCGGGACGAAAGGCCUUCUUGCGAAUAGUGAGAAGGAUUGACGGUACCGGAAUAGAAAGCCACGGCUAACUACGUG
rnacentral:rRNA from 1 species